rnacentral:hammerhead_ribozyme from 1 species
AUCCGACUGACGAGUCAUGAAUAGGACGAAACAUGAGUCCUGGAU